rnacentral:rRNA from 1 species
AUUGAACGCUGGCGGCAUGCCUUACACAUGCAAGUCGAACGGUAACGGGCCUUCGGGUGCCGACGAGUGGCGAACGGGUGAGUAAUACAUCGGAACGUGCCCGAUCGUGGGGGAUAACGAGGCGAAAGCUUUGCUAAUACCGCAUACGAUCUACGGCUGCAAGCAGGGGACCGCAAGGCCUUGCGCGGACGGAGCGGCCGAUGGCAGAUUAGGUAGUUGGUGGGAUAAAAGCUUACCAAGCCGACGAUCUGUAGCUGGUCUGAGAGGAUGAUCAGCCACACUGGGACUGAGACACGGCCCAGACUCCUACGGGAGGCAGCAGUGGGGAAUUUUGGACAAUGGGCGCAAGCCUGAUCCAGCCAUGCCGCGUGCAGGAUGAAGGCCUUCGGGUUGUAAACUGCUUUUGUACGGAACGAAAAGCCUUCUUUUAAUACAGGAGGGUCAUGACGGUACCGUAAGAAUAAGCACCGGCUAACUACGUG